rnacentral:rRNA from 1 species
GAUGAACGCUAGCUACAGGCUUAACACAUGCAAGUCGAGGGGAAACGACAUCGAAAGCUUGCUUUUGAUGGGCGUAGACCGGCGCACGGGUGAGUAACGCGUAUCCAACCUGCCCACCACUUGGGGAUAACCUUGCGAAAGUAAGACUAAUACCCAAUGAUAUCUCUAGAAGACAUCUGAAAGAGAUUAAAGAUUUAUCGGUGAUGGAUGGGGAUGCGUCUGAUUAGCUUGUUGGCGGGGUAACGGCCCACCAAGGCGACGAUCAGUAGGGGUUCUGAGAGGAAGGUCCCCCACAUUGGAACUGAGACACGGUCCAAACUCCUACGGGAGGCAGCAGUGAGGAAUAUUGGUCAAUGGGCGAGAGCCUGAACCAGCCAAGUAGCGUGCAGGAUGACGGCCCUAUGGGUUGUAAACUGCUUUUAUAAGGGAAUAAAGUGAGCCUCGUGAGGCUUUUUGCAUGUACCUUAUGAAUAAGGACUGGCUAAUUCCGUGCCAGCAGCCGCCGUAA